rnacentral:tRNA from 2 species
CGGGAUGUAGCGCAGCUUGGUAGCGCAUCCGCUUUGGGAGCGGAAGGUCGCAGGUUCAAAUCCUGUCAUCCCGACCA